rnacentral:rRNA from 1 species
GAUGAACGCUGGCGGCGUGCCUAAUACAUGCCAGUCGAGCGAACAGACGAGGAGCUUGCUCCUCUGACGUUAGCGGUGGACGGGUGAGUAACACGUGGAUAACCUACCUAUAAGACUGGGAUAACUUCGGGAAACCGGAGCUAAUACCGGAUAAUAUAUUGAACCGCAUGGUUCAAUAGUGAAAGACGGUUUUGCUGUCACUUAUAGAUGGUUCCGCGCCGCAUUAGCUAGUUGGUAAGGUAACGGCUUACCAAGGCAACGAUGCGUAGCCGACCUGAGAGGGUGAUCGGCCACACUGGAACUGAGACACGGUCCAGACUCCUACGGGAGGCAGCAGUAGGGAAUCUUCCGCAAUGGGCGAAAGCCUGACGGAGCAACGCCGCGUGAGUGAUGAAGGUCUUCGGAUCGUAAAACUCUGUUAUUAGGGAAGAACAAAUGUGUAAGUAACUAUGCACGUCUUGACGGUACCUAAUCAGAAAGCCACGGCUAACUACGUG